CGGGGCGUGGCUCAGCCAGGUUAAGAGCGUCCGCUUCGGGGGCGGAAGGUCUCCGGUUCAAAUCCGGACGCCCCGA
rnacentral:tRNA from 1 species